rnacentral:misc_RNA from 1 species
GAACUUCCAGAUUCUCAUCCUCUUCUUGAAGGGUUCGAGAAAAGAGAACCAGAUGAUCCAUCCUCCUAUCUUCUGGCAAUAUGGACACCUGGUGAAACUUCGGAUUCUAUUCAGCCACCGGGAAGACAGUGCAACUCCCAAGAAACUGGUAGACUAUGUGAUGAUGAAACAUGUUUUGCAUGCAACAGCAUACGUGAAGCAC